rnacentral:rRNA from 1 species
GACGAACGCUGGCGGCGUGCUUUACACAUGCAAGUCGAACGGUGAAGGUGGAGCUUGCUCCGCCGGAUCAGUGGCGAACGGGUGAGUAACACGUGGGCAACCUGCCCCUAACUUUGGGAUAACUACUCGAAAGAGUAGCUAAUACCGGAUAUGAAGUCUGUAGGCAUCUACGGAUUUGGAAAGUUUUUCGGUUAGGGAUGGGCCCGCGGCCUAUCAGCUUGUUGGUGGGGUAAUGGCCUACCAAGGCGACGACGGGUAGCCGGCCUGAGAGGGUGACCGGCCACACUGGGACUGAGAUACGGCCCAGACUCCUACGGGAGGCAGCAGUGGGGAAUAUUGCACAAUGGGCGCAAGCCUGAUGCAGCGACGCCGCGUGAGGGAUGACGGCCUUCGGGUUGUAAACCUCUUUCAGUAGGGACGAAGCGCAAGUGACGGUACCUACAGAAGAAGGACCGGCCAACUACGUGCCAGCAGCCGCCGUAA